rnacentral:rRNA from 1 species
GAUUUCUGGUUUGGCGCGCCUAGCCCGCCACGGUUACGUGUGUGAGUGCCGGGACGCGCCUGCCAUCCUUCUAGUGAACUAUUCUGCCCUUCACUGGGUGGGAUAGGUAGCUAGAUCUUUUACUUUGAAAAAAUUAGAGUGUUUAAAGCAGGCGUUUGCUAUGAAUACAUUAGCAUGGAAUAAUAACUUAGGACUUCGGUUCUAUUUUGUUGGUUUCUAGGACUGAAGUAAUGAUUGAUAGGGAUAGUUGGGGGUGCUAGUAUUCAGUGGCCAGAGGUGAAAUUCUCGGAUUCACUGAAGACUAACUUAUGCGAAAGCAUU